GGGGCUGUAGCUCAGUUGGAUAGAGCGAUCGCCUCCUAAGCGAUAGGUCGAGGGUUCGAGUCCCGCCAGUCCCGCUA
rnacentral:tRNA from 1 species